AGCAAAUCCAAAGCAUCCCAUCAACCUGCCUGAGGGUUUCGAUUGGUCAGCCUGCCCCUGCAGGGAUCUAACAUCAUCCCUCAGAAAUGAUAAACAGUAACCAAUUAAUGCUUAUUCAACACGUUGAGAAUAUAAAGGGCUACAGAUGUGCUAACAGUCAUUAAUCUCAUCCUUUCCUAACUCAGGAAUGUAAGUCAAGUUAUGCUGAGCUGUUCACAUUCAGUCCUGGCUACUAGAGUCUACUUCCACCCAAUAAGAGGAAUUAAAGUAAUACCUUGGAAAAAGAGAGGAUAAUGGGUC
rnacentral:lncRNA from 1 species